CGCUGGCGGCAUGCUUUACACAUGCGAGUCGAACGGCAGCACAGGGAGCUUGCUCCCGGGUGGCGAGUGGCGCACGGGUGAGUAAUACAUCGGAACGUGUCCUGUUGUGUGGGAUAACUGCUCGAAAGGGUGGCUAAUACCGCAUGAGACCUGAGGGUGAAAGCGGGGGAUCGCAAGACCUCGCGCAAUUGGAGCGGCCGAUGCCCGAUUAGCUAGUUGGUGAGGUAAAGGCUCACCAAGGCGACGAUCGGUAGCUGGUCUGAGAGGACGACCAGCCACACUGGGACUGAGACACGGCCCAGACUCCUACGGGAGGCAGCAGUGGGGAAUUUUGGACAAUGGGGGCAACCCUGAUCCAGCCAUGCCGCGUGCAGGAUGAAGGCCUUCGGGUUGUAAACUGCUUUUGUACAGGGACGAAAAGGACCGUGUUAAUACCAUGGUCUGCUGACGGUACCUGAAGAAUAAGCACCGGCUAACUACGUGCCAGCAGCCGCGGUAAUACGUAGGGUGCAAGCGUUAAUCGGAAUUACUGGGCGUAAAGCGUGCGCAGGCGGUUCUGUAAGACAGAUGUGAAAUCCCCGGGCUCAACCUGGGAAUUGCAUUUGUGACUGCCAGGACUAGAGUUUAUCAGAGGGGGGUGGAAUUCCAAGUGUAGCAGUGAAAUGCGUAGAUAUUUGGA
rnacentral:rRNA from 1 species